rnacentral:rRNA from 1 species
AUUGAACGCUGGCGGCAGGCCUAACACAUGCAAGUCGAGCGAGCGGCGGACGGGUGAGUAAUGUCUGGGGAUCUGCCCGAUGGAGGGGGAUAACUACUGGAAACGGUAGCUAAUACCGCAUACUAUCCGAUGAACCCAUAUGGGAUUAGCUAGUUGGUGGGGUAAAGGCUCACCAAGGCGACGAUCCCUAGCUGGUCUGAGAGGAUGAUCAGCCACACUGGAACUGAGACACGGCCCAGACUCCUACGGGAGGCAGCAGUGGGGAAUAUUGCACAAUGGGCGCAAGCCUGAUGCAGCCAUGCCGCGUGUAUGAAGAAGGCCUUCGGGUUGUAAAGUACUUUCAGCGGGGAGGCGGUACCCGCAGAAGAAGCACCGGCUAACUCCGUGCCAGCAGCCGCGGUAAUUC